rnacentral:rRNA from 1 species
GACGAACGCUGGCGGCGUGCCUAAUACAUGCAAGUAGAACGCUGAAGAGAGGAGCUUGCUCUUCUUGGAUGAGUUGCGAACGGGUGAGUAACGCGUAGGUAACCUGCCUUGUAGCGGGGGAUAACUAUUGGAAACGAUGGCUAAUACCGCAUAACAAUGGAUGACACAUGUCAUUUAUUUGAAAGGGGCAAUUGCUCCACUACAAGAUGGACCUGCGUUGUAUUAGCUAGUAGGUGAGGUAACGGCUCACCUAGGCGACGAUACAUAGCCGACCUGAGAGGGUGAUCGGCCACACUGGGACUGAGACACGGCCCAGACUCCUACGGGAGGCAGCAGUAGGGAAUCUUCGGCAAUGGGGGCAACCCUGACCGAGCAACGCCGCGUGAGUGAAGAAGGUUUUCGGAUCGUAAAGCUCUGUUGUAAGUCAAGAACGGGUGUGAGAGUGGAAAGUUCACACUGUGACGGUAGCUUACCAGAAAGGGACGGCUAACUACGUGC